rnacentral:lncRNA from 1 species
UUUGAAUUUAAAGUGUAGUAAGAAAAAAAUAUUUCUCCUGGAUACUUAAAGUUAUCUUGUUAUAUGUUCGGGAAAAGUAUAUAUUCAAAAGUUAUGAUAUUUAGAAUUCUUUUGCAAGUUUCAUUAUUGCAUAGAGUCCUAUAUAUUGUUGAGAUAUAAUUAGUAAUCUAGUAAAUUGAGCAAGAAGUUUAAACUGAAGAAAAGUUGAGAAAGCUUCUGAUUUUUCAUUCAAAAAAUAAAUCCACAUCAUCCUUGUAUAGUCAUCAACAAAAAGAAUGAAAUAUCUCCUGUUAUUGAGAGAGAGAGUCCUUGUAGGACCACAAAUAUCAGCAUGCACCAACUCCAACGGAGCUUUGGCUCUCCAUGAAUUUUUAGGAAAUGGAAGUCUAUGCAUUUUUCCAUAUAUACAGCCCUCGCAAACUUUUUCAUAUCUUCCAACAUCAGGUAAGCCAAUCACCAUGUUCUUUUGCUUGAGUUUACUAGAUUACUAAUUAUAUCUCAACAUAUAUAUUACACAAUUCUGGAAAUAGUUUGAUCUAUUUUUCUAUUAGUCUCAAUAGAUUCUUAUUCACCCUGCAAUUUCCAUUGCUGAUUUUGUCGUUCUAUUAGUUGCUUGUUUUAAAUUAUUUUCAUUUUCAAUGAAUUUUGGUCUUGGUUGUGCAGGAAUUGGCAUUGUGAUAAUUUGAGGUUUAUUGCUAACGCUAUCAUGGAUUGACGAAUUGGAUUUGGUUAUGAACUGAGUUAGCCAUCGGUUAUUAGCAGUUUCUGAACAAGGAGCAAGAAGAUACCAGUGAGGACCUGGAUUUCAGAAGCAAUUCUUUUAUUUUGCUUUUAUUUUGAAUCAUUAGCAUUUUCUUUUUCUCGUUUGGUUUCAGAUAUUGGUGGCAUUGGGUAGUGGGUUUGUUUCUCGAAUCAUGAUGAUGCCAAUGUGAUUGCAAACAGCAGAGUCUAAAAUUUAUACGACCUUGUGAUUUGUCCUAUAUUUUUUUACUAAUGUUUGCUUAAUUUUUUUUCCUUUUUGUUCUUUUUUGAGUGAUCUCCAUAAUUAAUCAAGAACCAAAAUAUC